UACUCGAGUGGCGAACUGGUGAGUAACACGUGGGUGAUCUGCCCUGCACUUCGGGAUAAGCUUGGGAAACUGGGUCUAAUACCGGAUAGGAGCCAUCUUUAGUGUGGUGGUUGGAAAGUUUUUUCGGUGUAGGAUGAGCUCGCGGCCUAUCAGCUUGUUGGUGGGGUAAUGGCCUACCAAGGCGGCGACGGGUAGCCGGCCUGAGAGGGUGUACGGCCACAUUGGGACUGAGAUACGGCCCAG
rnacentral:rRNA from 1 species